AGUUAAUACAAUAGCAAUUGUAUCUUUGCUUAAGCUCUUUUUGUGUUUGUUUCAGAUCAAUGGAUAGCUUUGUCAUUAACACUUUGACAGAGUGCCAGACCUUGUCGAAAGAUUUAAAAGCCUCCAUGUAAUAUGUCAAAGUGACUCCAAUAGAUGAAUAGAGCCGGCCACUGGAUUCCUGGAGGAAAGGCUACGGAACGUCAGGAAGCGGCUGAGAUCAACCAGCAGGUCGCAGAGCAAGGCACAGACACCACCACAAACGCCAGAUGAUGGCGCUCUAGCAAGGCCUCUCAUACCAGAAUGUACCAUAUCAGACGAACGUGAGUCACAGCUUAAAGAAUGGUUGAGAAACAAUUCUCAGCCCCUAGAGAUGCGGAACACGGCAGUCUACAGGGCCAAGUGGGUUAGGGACAACAAUUGGACCAUCGAUCAGAUCCUCGAAGAGUUCCUUCACCUAAUGAACAAA